rnacentral:rRNA from 1 species
GAAUUUGCCCAUUGGUCAGGCAGAACUGUCUGUACUGGUGUGACGAGUUCCUACCUUCUGAGGAAUCUUCAUGCCAUUCAGUUGGUGUGGGGGGAAAUCAGGACUGUUACUUUGAAAAAAUUAGAGUGUUUAAAGCAGACUAUCGUCUGAAUACAUUAGCAUGGAAUAAUGAAAUAGGACGGACUGAUUCUAUUUCGUUGGUUUCUAGGACCGAAGUAAUGAUUAAUAGGGAUAGUUG